rnacentral:lncRNA from 1 species
GGAAUGGAGAAGCCUAUAUCUUUGAAGUCUCCAGGCUGUGAUAGAAGCUCAUGCAGGGAGCUUGCUGUAGCUAAUUAAAGCUGAGCUGUGUUUCCUGUCAAGAGCCCAGAGUGUUAAUGGCUUCAAGCGAGGAAGAUCAAGCUUCCAUUUCCAUUCAGGGGUAAUGGAUAGAACCAGCAGAAUGCAGAGGAGAAGAAGGGGCCUUGUAAAGGCACAGAGCCCCUGAGCCCUCUUCUGAAGUACAUGCCCAAAGAGAAAAUGCCGGCUUUAGGGGAUCUGGGGGACCCCGGAUUCCCCACAGAGACAACCCAGCCUGUCAUUGUCUUCAUUCUUUUAUUUUAUGAUUUUUGAGCAUUUCAGCCUCUGGUCUCUAAUUGCACCUGCUCAGGUGUGUGUGAAUUGGAAGUGGUGAGGGAGGGCUAGGUGACAGUCCCGGUGAUAACAGAAUCUCAGGGGCUGUGAAGGUUCUGGUCCCAAAAGUCGUAUCUAUGAUCAGCUUCCACUGCUAUAACCAGGACUAUUUGAUCAAUCACCUUUUCUCAAGUCCUUACUAAAUGCCAGAUACAAGCUGACAAUGUUUUACAGGAUCUCAUACGAUGCCCUCAGUGAUCCUACAAAAGAUGCAGGAGGCACAGGUACAUUAGGUAAGUGACUUGCCUGAAGACAGAGCUGAUUCAAAAUCCCUUGUUCCUAACCAGUAAGAUAACCAAAACUUCUCUACCCU